rnacentral:snRNA from 1 species
UGGACUUCGGCCCAAGGAGGGAUUUGACUGGUUGCAGGUAGGCGUGUCCGAGUUUGUGUUCACGACUCUGCUCUGCUUCGUCUUCAUCAGCAUCGCAACGGCC